rnacentral:misc_RNA from 1 species
GGUUCAUUCCUUGUCGUUGUGCGGAAGUCAAAAGCUUCAAAAUCAUCAGCAGUAUUUUCCACAUUUUCAUGAGCAACUGAACCAUUCCGAACAAGCUCUUUCAUUUCAGAGGAUUUAGACUUGGAAAAGGUACCAUUAGUAGGGAAUUUCAUAGAAGUUGAAUCAUUCAAAUGGUCGCCAUGAUCAAGAGAAUCAUAGAUCA